rnacentral:rRNA from 1 species
CACGUAGGGCGCAAGCGUUGUCCGGAAUUAUUGGGCGUAAAGAGCUCGUAGGCGGUCUGUUGCGUCCGCUGUGAAAACUCGGGGCUUAACCCCGAGCCUGCAGUGGAUACGGGCAGACUAGAGGUAGGUAGGGGAGAAUGGAAUUCCCGGUGUAGCGGUGAAAUGCGCAGAUAUCGGGAGGAACACCGGUGGCGGAAGGCGGUUCUCUGG